AGGUCCACAAUAUCGAGCUCAACAGCCCUUUUAAGAGCCAACCCUCACAAACCUUGCUAAAAACUAAAAGAGCUAUUACUGAGUCUCAGCGAAUCUUGCCAUGAUCAGCCCUGCCCAGAUGAGAAGAAGACCAAGGAAAUUAUUUGCUCAGGAUGAGGAAUGAAGAUGGCCAUCUUGUGCCCAAACGAAGACAGAAAGCUGUCCACUGAUGAUCUCAUCGGCCAAAUGAGGCGUUUUGACCAAGUGAUGCUCUUGAAAGGAAUGAAAGAAGAGGAUGUGGUAAAUUGUCUUCAAAGAAAAAGCUUCUCAAAAGGUCUUAAAACAGCUUGAAGAAUGGUCUGGGAUCUGUCUGAAAAUGGGAUGUUAGGACUGAGAGAUCCUCUGGCUGAGAAAAAGCUACAUCACAUCAGUGCUGGAUAUCAACCACACACUGUUUACAGACACGAGAGAAGAAGAAGAUCACGAUGGGGAAAUGAAACCAGUUUAGAUGUGAUGAUAAGGAAUCAUUAUUUUCUGAAACAGUAUCACAUGUCUU